GUCCCUUCGGGAAAUCCGUUAAAAUUGGAACUUUACAGCGAAGAUUAGCAUGGCCCUGCGCAAGGAUGACACGCACAAAUUGAGGAACGGUCCAAUUUUUU